rnacentral:rRNA from 1 species
GACGAACGCUGGCGGCGUGCUUAACACAUGCAAGUCGAACGGAAAGGCCCUGCUUUUGUGGGGUGCUCGAGUGGCGAACGGGUGAGUAACACGUGAGUAACCUGCCCUUGACUUUGGGAUAACUUCAGGAAACUGGGGCUAAUACCGGAUAGGAGCUCCUGCUGCAUGGUGGGGGUUGGAAAGUUUCGGCGGUUGGGGAUGGACUCGCGGCUUAUCAGCUUGUUGGUGGGGUAGUGGCUUACCAAGGCUUUGACGGGUAGCCGGCCUGAGAGGGUGACCGGCGACAUUGGUACUGAGAGACGGCCCAGACUCCUACGGGAGGCAGCAGUGGGGAAUAUUGCACAAUGGGCGGAAGCCUGAUGCAGCAACGCCGCGUGCGGGAUGACGGCCUUCGGGUGGUAAACCGCUGUCGCCUGUGACGAAGCGGGAGUGACGGUAAUGGGUAAAGAAGCACCGGCUAACUACGUG